UACGUAGGGUGCGAGCGUUGUCCGGAAUUAUUGGGCGUAAAGAGCUUGUAGGCGGUUUGUCGCGUCUGCUGUGAAAUCUCAAGGCUCAACCUUGAGCUUGCAGUGGGUACGGGCAGACUAGAGUGUGGUAGGGGAGACUGGAAUUCCUGGUGUAGCGGUGGAAUGCGUAGAGAUCCGGAAGAACACCGGUGGCGAAGGCGGCCUGCUGGGCAGUGGCUGACGCUGAGGCGCGACAGCGUGGGGAGCAAACAGG
rnacentral:rRNA from 1 species